rnacentral:rRNA from 1 species
UACGUAGGGGGCAAGCGUUGUCCGGAAUCAUUGGGCGUAAAGCGCGUGUAGGCGGCUCGAUAAGUCUGCUGUGAAAGUCCAAGGCUCAACCUUGGGAUGCCGGUGGAUACUGUCGAGCUCGAGUCCGGAAGAGGAGUGUGGAAUUCCUGGUGUAGCGGUGAAAUGCGUAGAUAUCGAGAGGAACACCUGCGGCGAAGGCGGGUUGCUGGGCCGACACUGACGCUGAGGCGCGAAAGCCAGGGGAGCGAACGGG